AUUGCCGGCAUAACGAAUGGUUCCUGAGCGGCGAUCUGCCGCAUGGGAUGAAAAGGGAAUGUGACGGGACGGACCCAAGCCGGGCGUUCUCAUCACAGCCGACCCCGCGACUGUAGAGCGGUCAGGGUCUUUCGUCCGGUUUGAUGGCCAUUCCGCCGAUGGUUCGCAUGGUGCGAACAGGCGGAGCAACGUCAAGCCGGAAAAGCCACUGGUGUGGCAUCAUGAUUUACCGGGGUUGGACGCCUCUAUUGUCUACGAAUCGUCCGCCUUUUCAUGAUGUCUUGCCGGGAAGGCGAGAAAGAUCCGCUGGUGUACGAUCGGGGCCGACCGGUUUCGGUCUGCCCCCGUCGCGCCACUAUCCGCGAGCCAGGAGACCUGCCAUACGUGCCGGGCGCAG
rnacentral:ncRNA from 1 species